CCCUUAGAUGUUCUGGGCCGCACGCGCGCUACACUGACGAAUGCAACGAGCUUAUAACCUUGUCCGAAAGGUCUGGGUAAUCUCCAAAUUUCGUCGUGAUGGGGAUAGAUUAUUGCAAUUAUUAAUCUUCAACGAGGAAUGCCUAGUAAGCGCAAGUCAUCAGCUUGCGUUGAUUACGUCCCUGCCCUUUGUACACACCGCCCGUCGCUCCUACCGAUUGAAUGGUCCGGUGAAGCGUUCGGACCGUGGCCUUUGGACGGGCAACCGUCUGUUGGUCGUGGGAAGUUCGUUAAACCUUAUCAUUUAGAGGAAGGAGAAGUCGUAACA
rnacentral:rRNA from 1 species